rnacentral:rRNA from 1 species
AUGGCGGCGGGGCCUCGGUUGCCCUGCUCCUAUGUGGGGAACCCCGGAUCUGGAGCGGCGGCUCCAUUGGCAAGGCAUGACCGGCUAACAGCCGUGCGGGUGGUGGAUCCAGUGUCCCGGCCGUGCGGGCGGCGGAAACCGGUGGUCGUUGGUGGCCGGCGGCAGCUUCUGCAAUGGUCGGUGUGCGCGAUCUGGCGCCUCCCUUCCUCCCCUGUUCGGCGUGCGGACCAGCCUGGUCGGGCCGCACUUCCUCUUGGUCCCUGUUCUGUACAGGAGGUGCUGCUGGUGACAGAGAUCUAG